ACAUUAAAAUGAACAUUAAAAUGAUCAAUGGGAACAUAAAAUGAUUCAAUAAGAACAUUAACAUGAUUAAACUGGAAAAAUUCAAGGAUAUCUAUUAUCUAAACUUAUUUAGUUACUCACGAAAACGUCAUAUUUAACUUGCAAAGUUCACUGCUUGCCGAGUUGCCGGAUACUAGUGCUCACAUACCGUUAAUUACAUCAUCGAAAUUCGAAAGUCAACGUGGUUUUAUUUGCUUUUUGAAAUCUACCGCGAGCAAGCUAGGUGUUUUUUAGGUACAUGUUGUACUAAAUCCAUUUCAAAGAUUAAGAUAUUGCGUAUGUACUUCAGUACUUGUUCACUAUGACUAUGCACGAGGCCGCGCCCAAUCGAGUGACCACGCCUAUUUGAUUUUCGAGAGCGUCCCCCCACUUCUAAAAUUAGCAAAACAUCGCUGUACUAUACCUAAACUGGCAUGCACAGACCGUUCAAGAUUAUUUUGAUUUAGGUUUCAAAAUGGUAGUAGUGGAAUCUGUAAACUCACAGGUAUAAUACAUCACUGUCCCACAGGUCCCUCAUGAGAGGAAAACGUGCCAUUAUGUGGUGACAAAUCCUUCACGUGGUAGAGAGCUAUAAACUAGGGUUUUAUGGAUUAUCCAAGGAGUUUCAAACUAAAAGUACAGACAACAACGUUUCUCAAAAUUCCGAGUUAAUUAUAUAAUUAUUAUCCUUUAUACUGGUGAUUAACAAAUGUAUUUUGUAUUAACAACCAUCUUUCUAUUUUACAGGAGUAAAUUAAGUGCAUAUCACCUUGACAACAAGUGUCGUGAAUACGUGAACCAGUUCAUCAUGGCGGAUAAGAAAAGUCUAGAGCAAAGUAAUCCGAAAUCUCAGCCACAAGCAUUCACCAGUUUCAGUGGUAUCGAUUAUCAUUCGAAGCAAGAUGACAAGGGUAGUGAAACAAGUUUCAAAAUAAGCACCGGAGCAGCGGCGGUAAUUACCACACUGGUAGUUGGUACAGUAGGCGCCCUUUGCCACAGCAGAAACAACAGGAGAGAAUAAUUGGACAAUUAUAGUUAUAAUCACAAACUAUGUAGAAUACCUGUUUACUGUACAACUAUUUGUAAAACGCAUUAAUAAUUCAUGAAGGAACUAUAAAAAAGGAGUGUUGAAUGAAUUCAUGUUGUAUUCGUAUCCCCAUCAUUUAAUAUCUUGUCAUUUUUUCAUACUUUUAUAUCUUGUCGUCGAGAGUAGUUAGGAAGCACAGCCGUGCGCCUUGUGCAUGAUCAAUUAU